AGACCCGAAACCCGGUGAUCUAGCCAUGGGCAGGUUGAAGGUUGGGUAACACUAACUGGAGGACCGAACCGACUAAUGUUGAAAAAUUAGCGGAUGACCUGUGGCUGGGGGUGAAAGGCCAAUCAAACCGGGAGAUAGCUGGUUCUCCCCGAAAGCUAUUUAGGUAGCGCCUCGUGAAUUCAUCUCCGGGGGUAGAGCACUGUUUCGGCUAGGGGGCCAUCCCGGCUUACCAACCCGAUGCAAACUGCGAAUACCGGAGAAUGUUAUCACGGGAGACACACGGCGGGUGCUAACGUCCGUCGUGAAGAGGGAAACAACCCAGACCGCCAGCUAAGGUCCCAAAGUCAUGGUUAAGUGGGAAACGAUGUGGGAAGGCCCAGACAGCCAGGAUGUUGGCUUAGAAGCAGCCAUCAUUUAAAGAAAGCGUAAUAGCUCACUGGUCGAGUCGGCCUGCGCGGAAGAUGUAACGGGGCUAAACCAUGCACCGAAGCUGCGGCAGCGACACUGUGUGUUGUUGGGUAGGGGAGCGUUCUGUAAGCCUGUGAAGGUGUGUCGUGAGGCAUGCUGGAGGUAUCAGAAGUGCGAAUGCUGACAUAAGUAACGAUAAAGCGGGUGAAAAGCCCGCUCGCCGGAAGACCAAGGGUUCCUGUCCAACGUUAAUCGGGGCAGGGUGAGUCGACCCCUAAGGCGAGGCCGAAAGGCGUAGUCGAUGGGAAACGGGUUAAUAUUCCCGUACUUGGUGUUACUGCGAAGGGGGGACGGAGAAGGCUAUGUUGGCCGGGCGACGGUUGUCCCGGUUUAAGCGUGUAGGUGUGUGUUCCAGGUAAAUCCGGUUCACUUUAACACUGAGGCGUGAUGACGAGGCACUACGGUGCUGAAGCAACAAAUGCCCUGCUUCCAGGAAAAGCCUCUAAGCAUCAGGUAACAUCAAAUCGUACCCCAAACCGACACAGGUGGUCAGGUAGAGAAUACCAAGGCGCUUGAGAGAACUCGGGUGAAGGAACUAGGCAAAAUGGUGCCGUAACUUCGGGAGAAGGCACGCUGACA
rnacentral:rRNA from 1 species